AUGAAGGAUCUGGAGACUCCAUUCUGGAGACAUUCAUCUUGGGAGGGCUACUCUGGAGAGAUCAGCUGUCUCUACAAACACCCAACUGGAAGCAACGCCAACCUCAGUGUGAUGAGUCCCUGCACAGACCAAAAUACAGCCCAGGGAUAUUAUCAACUACAUGGAGAUACAGGGACAAAGGGAUCAUAAAUUUAGAGCAAGAUUAACAACCAGUACAUUUUUCAUCAAAGAAAAUGAAGUCCGUUACUCAUUUUUUCAUAAAUUAUAAAAUGUUUCUCCCACCUUUCCCCUCUU
rnacentral:lncRNA from 1 species